GAUAGAAAAGAUAUCCCCCACGAGAGAAUUGGGCGAGUCCGGGUAAAGCAGAGCAGCCGUGUAUGUGUCGUAUAUCAUGCAAAAUGAGGAACCAGCGUUGCAUGAAGAAGUUGUUUAUCCUGAUCUCUGAAUAUAUUUUAAAACAGAACUUCCUUCAAAAAUACUUUUUAGUUGUGUAGUCCUUUCAAUAGUUUAAUGUUCAGACUGAAUACGGUUGCUUAUACCAUCUCAAGGAACAGAGGAAGAGGACAUUGAUCGAGCAGCCAGCCAGCAGACAGACAUCUUGAGGAGAGCAGAAGGGGACCUGCAGCCAGCCAGACAGACAUCUUGAGGAGAGCAGAAGGGGACCUGCAACCAGCCAGACAGACAUCUUGAGGAGAGCAGAAGGGGACCUGCAACCAGCCAGACAGACAUCUUGAGGAGAGCAGAAGGGGACCUGCAACCAGCCAGACAUCUUGAAGAGAGCAGAAGGGGGACCUGCAGUCCUGCGUGGUGGAGAUUAGGUCCCAAGACUAGCAGCCCAGUAGACUUUCACCGUAAUUUAACCAGGAAAGACCCUUGAGGUUCUAAACUUUGUUGCAGAGAGCUAGUCAUGGGGAAACAGAACAGCAAACUGCGUCCCGAAGUGCUGAAUGACCUGCGCGAGAACACAGAGUUUUCUGACCACGAGCUUCAGGAAUGGUACAGAGGCUUCCUCAAAGACUGCCCCACGGGCCACCUGACCGUCGAAGAGUUCAAGAAGAUCUACGCCAACUUCUUCCCGUAUGGUGACGCUUCCAAGUUCGCCGAGCACGUCUUCCGGACAUUCGACACCAACGGCGACGCCACCAUUGACUUCCGGGAGUUCAUCAUUGCGCUGAGCGUUACGUCGCGCGGCGGCCUGGAGCAGAAGCUGCGCUGGGCCUUCAGUAUGUAUGACCUGGACGGGAACGGUUACAUCAGCCGGGCUGAGAUGCUGGAGAUUGUACAGGCGAUCUACAAGAUGGUGUCCUCAGUGAUGAAGAUGCCAGAAGAUGAGUCGACGCCUGAGAAACGGACAGAUAAAAUCUUCAGACAGAUGGACGUAGACAAAGACGGCAAACUCUCUCUGGAGGAGUUCAUCAAAGGUGCCAAGAGUGACCCUUCCAUCGUCCGGCUCCUGCAAUCUGACCAGGGGACCUCUCGCCAGUUCUGAAGACAAGCACACACAUAGUUCUCCACUUUUCUGUCUUCAGAUCACUGUAUCAUCCCCCAUCCAACACACACACACAUAGUUCUGAAGACAGGAAAGUGGAGAUCACUGUAUCAUCCCCCAUCCAACACACACACACGAGAAAGAGGUGGAAGAGGCACAGUUGUCAUUACAACACCCAUAUCAGGCAGCCAUUUUAUAUUCUUUCAUUCCAUGUCUUGUUGUUUACAUCAUCAGUAGUUCCCUAGCCUGAUCCCAGAUCUGUUUUUUCUCUCUAUUGCAUGGAGUUUGCUAGACAGAACAAACAGAUCUGGGACCAGGAUAGCAGUUUCCAAUAUCCCAAUGCAGCGGUUUCAUGCAUUCUACAGCGAUAUAUGUUUUGCAUCUUGAAACAAAUUUUACACCCACAGUACCACUGAAUAGACUCUUAUGACAUUUCCUUGCAAAUGUUUUACUUAAUGUUUUAUUUUUGCUUGCCGUACUUUAGUCAAGGUGAAGUGCCAUAUCUAAAUAUUUGUACUGAAUGUAUUAUUACACUAAGUAUUAUGACUUUUUCCCCUGAUGUGUCACAGUAAGAAGAAAUCAACCAAAACCAAUAUUUUGUACGUCAACCUGGAGCGGCAGGUAGCCUAACAAUUAAGAGCGUUGGGACAGUAACUGAAGGGUUGCUGGUUUGAAUCACCGAGCUGACUAGGUAAAAAAAAAAAUCUGUCGAUGUGCCCUUGAGCAAGACACUUAUCCCUAAUUAUCUGCUAAAUUAUUAACACGUAAAAACCAUGGGUCGUCUCAUUGCGACCUUUGCUCUAAAUGUAAUAUUAGUUAGGCACAUUCAAAAAUGUUUUUCACUAUAUACCGUUUCUGCAGCACAGGAAUUUUGAAAAUGAAUGUUUUAAUACCCAGCUGUACAGAAAGUUCCAGUGAUGUUGUAUUAAAACCAGUAUCUUGUAAUGUUUUGCAGUCACUGGUUUGUUUAGCUCCACAGGGCUUGCCAACAGAGUGGAUUAUCCCAGGUCCCAAUAAGCACACUUUGGGGACCCUGACCCCGAAAACUACACCGCAAACCUGUUUUUAGCCUGCUGCUCCAGAAGCACAUCAGAAAUAAAAAAACAAAUGUAA